GCGCCUAACACAUGCAAGUCGAACGAGCGAGAGAGAGCUUGCUUUCUCAAGCGCCUGGCGAAAGUGUGAGUAACGCGUGAGGAACCUGCCUCAAAGAGGGGGACAACAGUUGGAAACGACUGCUAAUACCGCAUAAGCCCACAGCUCGGCAUCGAGCAGAGGGAAAAGGAGCAAUCCGCUUUGAGAUGGCCUCGCGUCCGAUUAGCUGGUUGGUGAGGUAAUGGCCCACCAAGGCGACGAUCGGUAGCCGGACUGAGAGGUUGAACGGCCACAUUGGGACUGAGACACGGGCCAGACUCCUACGGGAGGCAGCAGUGGGGAAUAUUGCACAAUGGGGGAAACCCUGAUGCAGCGACGCCGCGUGGAGGAAGAAGGUCUUCGGAUUGUAAACUCCUGUUGUUGAGGAAGAUAAUGACGGUACUCAACAAGGAAGUGACGGCUAACUACGUGCCAGCAGCCGCGGUAAAACGUAGGUCACAAGCGUUGUCCGGAAUUACUGGGUGUAAAGGGAGCGCAGGCGGGAAGACAAGUCGGAAGUGAAAUCUAUGGGCUCAACCCAUAAACUGCUUUCAAAACUGUUUUUCUUGAGUAGUGCAGAGGUAGGCGGAAUUCCCGGUGUAGCCGUGGAAUGCGUAGAUAUCGGGAGGAACACCAGUGGGGAAGGCGGCCUACUGGGCACCAACUGGACGCUGAGGCUCGAAAGUGUGGGUAGCAAACAGGAUUAGAUACNCUGGUAGUCCACACCGUAAACGAUGAUUACUAGGUGUUGGAGGAUUGACCCCUUCAGUGCCGCAGUUAACACAAUAAGUAAUCCACCUGGGGAGUACGACCGCAAGGUUGAAACUCAAAGGAAUUGACGGGGGCCCGCACAAGCAGUGGAGUAUGUGGUUUAAUUCGACGCAACGCGAAGAACCUUACCAAGUCUUGACAUCCUGCGACGCACAUAGAAAUAUGUGUUUCCUUCGGGACGCAGAGACAGGUGGUGCAUGGUUGUCGUCAGCUCGUGUCGUGAGAUGUUGGGUUAAGUCCCGCAACGAGCGCAACCCUUACUGUCAGUUACUACGCAAGAGGACUCUGGCAGGACUGCCGUUGACAAAACGGAGGAAGGUGGGGAUGACGUCAAAUCAUCAUGCCCUUUAUGACUUGGGCUACACACGUACUACAAUGGCGUUAAACAAAGAGAAGCAAGACCGCGAGGUGGAGCAAAACUCAGAAACAACGUCCCAGUUCGGACUGCAGGCUGCAACUCGCCUGCGCGAAGUCGGAAUUGCUAGUAAUCGUGGAUCAGCAUGCCACGGUGAAUACGUUCCCGGGCCCAUGUACACACGGCCCGUCAAGGGCGAAUUCGUUUAAACNAACAGGACUAGGUCCCUUUAUGAGGUAUUUGGCUGUUCG
rnacentral:rRNA from 1 species